AACUUAGAGGUAGCUGGCGUGGAGAGCUGUUGAAUGUUGGUUUAACCUAGAGGUAGGCUGGAGAAGUGUUGGUUUAACCUUAGAGGUAGGCUGGAGAGGAGAGACUGUUGAAGUGUUGGAUAACCUUGAGGUAGGCUGGAGAAGAGAGACGUUGAAGUUGUUGGAUAACCUUAGAGGUAGGCUGGAGAGGAGAAGACUGUUGAAGUGUUGGAUAACCUUAGAGGUAGGCUGGAGAGGAGAAGACUGUUGAAGUGUUGGUUUAAAUUAGAGGUAGGCUGGAGAAGAGAAUGACUGUUGAAGUGUUGGUUUAACCUUAGAGGUAGGCUGGCGAGGAGAAGACUGUUGAAGUGUUGGUUUACCUUAGAGGUAGGCUGGGUGGGAAGACUGUUGAGUGUUGGUUUAACCUUAGAGGUAGGCUGGUGGA
rnacentral:lncRNA from 1 species